rnacentral:rRNA from 1 species
ACUCCUACGGGAGGCAUCGAGUGGGGAAUCUUGGACAAUGGGGGCAACCCUGAUCCAGCCAUGCCGCGUGAGUGAUGAAGGCCUUAGGGUCGUAAAGCUCUUUCGCCUGUGAUGAUAAUGACAGUAGCAGGUAAGAAACCCCGGCUAACUCCGUGCCAGCAGCCGCGGUAAUACGGAGGGGGUUAGCGUUGUUCGGAAUUACUGGGCGUAAAAGCGCGCGUAGGCGGAUUAGUCAGUUAGAGGUGAAAUCCCAGGGCUCAACCCUGGAACUGCCUUUAAUACUGCUAGUCUUGAGUUCGAGAGAGGUGAGUGGAAUUCCGAGUGUAGAGGUGAAAUUCGUAGAUAUUCGGAGGAACACCAGUGGCGAAGGCGGCUCACUGGCUCGAUACUGACGCUGAGGUGCGAAAGUGUGGGGAGCAAACAGGAUUAGAUACCCUGGUAG